AGUCGAACGCGUUGGCCCAAUUGAUUGAUGGUGCUUGCACCUGAUUGAUUUUGGUCGCCAACGAGUGGCGGACGGGUGAGUAACACGUAGGUAACCUGCCCAGAAGCGGGGGACAACAUUUGGAAACAGAUGCUAAUACCGCAUAACAGCGUUGUUCGCAUGAACAACGCUUAAAAGAUGGCUUCUCGCUAUCACUUCUGGAUGGACCUGCGGUGCAUUAGCUUGUUGGUGGGGUAACGGCCUACCAAGGCGAUGAUGCAUAGCCGAGUUGAGAGACUGAUCGGCCACAAUGGGACUGAGACACGGCCCAUACUCCUACGGGAGGCAGCAGUAGGGAAUCUUCCACAAUGGGCGCAAGCCUGAUGGAGCAACACCGCGUGAGUGAAGAAGGGUUUCGGCUCGUAAAGCUCUGUUGUUAAAGAAGAACACGUAUGAGAGUAACUGUUCAUACGUUGACGGUAUUUAACCAGAAAGUCACGGCUAAAUACGUGCC
rnacentral:rRNA from 2 species